AUACUGGUGUCAGAGUUAUAUGAUUUAGGUUUAGGGCCUACCCACGGAUUAAAAAUCCCUAGUAUU
rnacentral:tRNA from 1 species